rnacentral:rRNA from 1 species
GUGCCUAACACAUGCAAGUCGAGCGAGAAAAGGGUAGCAAUAUCCUGAGUACAGCGGCGCACGGGUGAGUAACACGUGGGUAAUCUGCCCUGGAGUGGGGAAUAACACCGGGAAACCGGUGCUAAUACCGCAUACGAUCACGAUGUCUGCGGAUGUUGUGAUGAAAGGAGCAAUUCGCUCCAGGAGGAGCCCGCGGCUGAUUAGCUAGUUGGUGAGGUAAUGGCUCACCAAGGCUACGAUCAGUAUCCGGUCUGAGAGGACGGUCGGACACACUGGAACUGAGACACGGUCCAG